rnacentral:rRNA from 1 species
UACGUAGGGGGCAAGCGUUGUCCGGAUUUAUUGGGCGUAAAGAGCGUGUAGGCGGCCUUACAGGUCAGCUGUGAAAACUCGAGGCUCAACCUCGAGACGUCGGUUGAAACCGUAAGGCUAGGGUCCGGAAGAGGAGAGUGGAAUUCCCGGUGUAGCGGUGAAAUGCGCAGAUAUCGGGAAGAACACCCGUGGCGAAGGCGGCUCUCUGGGACGGUACUGACGCUGAGACGCGAAAGCGUGGGGAGCGAACAGG